rnacentral:rRNA from 1 species
GACGAACGCUGGCGGCGUGCUUAACACAUGCAAGUCGAACGGAAAGGCCUCUUUCGGGGGGUACUCGAGUGGCGAACGGGUGAGUAACACGUGAGUAACCUGCCCUUGACUUUGGGAUAACUUCAGGAAACUGGGGCUAAUACCGGAUAGGAGCUCCUGCUGCAUGGUGGGGGUUGGAAAGUUUCGGCGGUUGGGGAUGGACUCGCGGCUUAUCAGCUUGUUGGUGGGGUAGUGGCUUACCAAGGCUUUGACGGGUAGCCGGCCUGAGAGGGUGACCGGCCACAUUGGGACUGAGGUACGGCCCAGACUCCUACGGGAGGCAGCAGUGGGGAAUAUUGCACAAUGGGUGGAAGCCUGAUGCAGCAACGCCGGGUGCGGGAUGACGGCCUUCGGGUUGGAAACCGCUUUCGCUCAUGACGAAGCUUUGUGUGACGGUAGUGGGUAAAGAAGCACCGGCUAACUACGUG